CAGAAACCCUUCACCCCAACCAGGGAGACAGCGAAGGCCUCUGGCCCAGGGCCCAUUUCUGGUUCCGAAGGUCUUCCCCACGUAUAGGGAGAGAAGAACCCUUGAGCCUCAGUCCAGCCGCCGCGCCCCUCCCCCCCCCCCCACUUCCCACCGCUACAUUAACCCUUUGUCUGCUGCGGGGGUGGGGGGACACUGCCCCUUUGGUCUUCUCCAGUGGGCGGAGGGAGGAGGCAGCAACCUCCAGAGGUCCGCACCCCGCCCCCGCCACCAGCAGGCCUUCACGCGCGGUUCCACGUUCGCCCCCGGGCCCUGCAGGGGGGCCCCGUCCCCUCCAACACACUCCUAAGACUGCCGCUCUGGAAAUUUCAACAGGGUUUACUUAGCCCUUCAAGGGGGCGAUCCGGCCCCGCAACCCUGGGAACUCUCAUCACGGAGACUCCUGACCUUCGCCCUUCCCAGAAGGAAAGGCUCUUAGAAGACACCUGGCUCUAGCGCUGGGUGGAAAAACUUUGUAGAGUUCAGGCGGGUGCCCAGGGGCCAAAGUGGGUCCCAGAUGGAGACUCCCUGGGGAGAGGGGGGCGGAUCUGAGAAUGCAAACUAGCUCUCUGACCUAAGCACCUGAACUUGGGAGGGCCCUUUACAGCGCAUCACCCACCCCACGACACACAGGCGAACUGCGACCUCCCAUCUCCCUACGUCGCUCCGGUUUUUCCCUCCGACCUCUCUCCCCAGGGCAAAAGCAGAACUGCGCCUUUAAGAGCCGCUCCGCUUACCUUUGCUCGGUUUACGGGGAGCCGCGACGCCCCCUCCUCCUUCGACCUCCCUCCUCCUUCCCGGGCGAGCCGCCCGCCGGAGCCAGCCGGACACACCGCGAAGCCCGCCGGACUCACCGCGCUCGUCCCGGGGGCCGCGGCGCGCCGGCUCCGGCCCACGACGGCAGGGGCGCCGCCGGGCUGCGCGCCGUGCCCUGCGCUCUGCGCACUGCCCGGGUCCCUGCCGGGGCUCGGGGCUGCUUCCCCCUGCUCCAGAAAGGCUUCUUGCAGUGUCCCCCGCGUGGGGAGCCCCAUGCGCAAGGAGUGCGCCCGUGAGGAGAGCUGCCCAGGGCGAAAGAAAGUGCAGCCUGCCCAGGAAUGGCGCCGCCCACACUUCCCGUGCCGCUGACGACAACAGAAGCGGACAAAGAAACAAGACGCAGCAAAUAGACACCGAAAACAGACAACCAGGGGAGGGGGGGGAAU
rnacentral:lncRNA from 1 species